GAUGAACGCUGGCGGCGUGCCUAAGACAUGCAAGUCGAGCGGGUUUAGACCCGCGGCAAACGGGUGAGUAAUACCUAGGAACAUGCCCUUAGUUGAGCAUAACCCACCGAAAGGUGGAGCAAUACUCAAUGUGAUCGCAAGAUUAAAGUCGCAAGACGCUAAGGAAGUGGCCUGGGCACCAUCAGCUAGUUGGUAAGGUAAAAGCUUACCAAGGCUAUGACGGUUAGGGGCCCCGAGAGGGGAAACCUCCACACUGGAACUGAGACACGGUCCAGACUCCUACGGGAGGCAGCAGUUUGGAAUUUUGGACAAUGGGCGAAAGCCUGAUCCAGCGACGCCGCGUGGACGAUGAAGGUCUUCGGAUCGUAAAGUCCUUUGUCAAGGAAGAAUAUUUUGUACGGUACCUUGCGAAUAAGAGGUUGCUAACUCUGUG
rnacentral:rRNA from 1 species